rnacentral:rRNA from 1 species
GACGAACGCUGGCGGCGUGCCUAAUACAUGCAAGUAGAACGCUGAAGAGAGGAGCUUGCUCUUCUUGGGUGAGUUGCGAACGGGUGAGUAACGCGUAGGUAACCUGCCUUGUAGCGGGGGAUAACUACUGGAAACGAUAGCUAAUACCGCAUAACAAUGGAUGACACAUGUCAUUUAUUUGAAAGGGGCAAUUGCUCCACUACAAGAUGGACCUGCGUUGUAUUAGCUAGUAGGUGAGGUAAUGGCUCACCUAGGCGACGAUACAUAGCCGACCUGAGAGGGUGAUCGGCCACACUGGGACGGAGACACGGCCCAGACUCCUACGGGAGGCAGCAGUAGGGAAUCUUCGGCAAUGGAGGCAACCCUGACCGAGCAACGCCGCGUGAGUGAAGAAGGUUUUCGGAUCGUAAAGCUCUGUUGUAAGGCAAGAACGGGUGUGAGAGUGGAAAGUUCACACUGUGACGGUAGCUGACCAGAAAGGGACGGCUAACUACGUG